AUGGGUUUUGUAUAUUGUUGAAGAUCAUAUGAUGACCCGUAGUUUCUAAUUUCUUAUUUUUAUGACAACGAACAACAAAUGAGGCAAUUCAACAUUCUGGAUUAAAGCAGCUUGGCGAUCAUAACCCAAACUAUUUUUCUUAAACCUAGACCAGAGGUCGUAAAAUAAAAAACGAGCGAAUACGACGACGAAUAACUGACCAAAAAAUGACAAUAACCCGUUUAAG
rnacentral:lncRNA from 1 species